rnacentral:lncRNA from 1 species
GUUUGACUUGUAUAAUAAUUGUUCUCCCAGAUUGGGCUUCUGUUUUGAUAGUAGAACUAAAUUAUUAGGCUAUUUCAAGAAAUUAAUAUAUUACUGGUAGAAAAACUGAAGCUACAAAAUGGCCUGGUUUCUCACUUCAGUUAAAUUUGUGCUUCUGAGUGCUUGCAUUCUAGGUGAAACCGCACUGAGAAGGUAUUUGUGGCCCGUAUGCUGAUUGAUUGAUGAGACUUCUUUGCACAGGAGAGCUGCUAAAAAUUACUGCAGUGAACAGACGGAGGCCCAUUGAGGCUUCUCUGUCCUCCACGGGGACCGGCAUUGGGCUAAACCUGCAGACACCAUUGCAAAGGGAAUUCAGGCAAACCCGCUGGUGAAGAAUGAUUCCAGCUUGGGGACAGAGGCUGAC